rnacentral:lncRNA from 1 species
GGGAGCGGGAGUGGGAGUGCUCAGUCUCUCGGGUCGCCUGGAUAUUUAUGAAAAGGACGCCAGGGAAAGGGCUCCGCUGUAGACCGAAGGGAUAAGGGUUCGAUUCAGAAGGGAGCGUUAUUUUUAUCCCCUCUCCACAUAAUGGAACGUUUAAAUGGUUAAAUCAAGUACCUUGCAGGAGAGGGUGGGGUGGCCUUGAGAAUACACUCAAGGCCUCAGUACAUGCAGUCUGGAAGUGGGGGAAUCAAGAGCACCCUGUCUCUAGUACUGUCCUCAAUGAUAAGGUGAGGAAAGCCAAACCCAGGACUGGGAACAGGGCCUGGUCCAGAGCCAGGCGCUUGUUUAUUCUUGACUCUGCUCUCAAGGCGCUGAGGUUCCCAACCUGGACCAAGAAGUACAUAUUCAGGUUCAAAGGAUAAACCAAAACAAAACCUGAGCUCUCUCUCUAGAAUGAAGUGCCUGGUCCCAGUUCACCAUCUAAUAUUUAUGGAAAGCUUAUCAGAGAACAGAAGUGUCAGCAGAGGACUGUAAGUGCUAUGUGAUUGGACGACGGUGGCCAUAGAAUUUCACCUGCCCAGCACGUAUUCUCUCAUCCUCUCCUCCUCUGCCUUCUUUGGGAGGGAGAAAUCAGAAGGAGUGGGGAUGCAGUUCAGAGAGCAGAGGAGAAGAGAAGAAAAGAAGGAAGAAGGAAGAGGACUAGGGUUGGGUGGGGGGGGAGGACACCAAUGGGAAGAGGGACAGAUCAACUCUAUACACAAAAGUAAAUCAAAACACCAAAAACAGGGGUCUAUGUAAAGAAGCCUCUUCCCGUGAAUUGCUCGUUGCAUAGCUGCAGGGAGGGUGUUUAGGGGCAUAGAGAAUGAAAACAUACCUGUAUUUUGGUGUAGGGAAAUUGUUUCUGUCAAUUCACACCGUCCACACACCACCUCCCACCCCAACCCCGCCACUACCAAAUUCCUCUAAAUAAAAAUAAUUAUGAGAUACAGGCCAACAAAAACGUCAGCGUUAGGCUGUUAUUUAGAGAGAAUUGGAAAGCGUUUGAAUGUGGCCCUGUUGUUUAAUAAACGAUAACAAUGAUUA